UACGAAGGGGGCUAGCGUUGCUCGGAAUCACUGGGCGUAAAGGGUGCGUAGGCGGGUCUUUUAAGUCAGGGGUGAAAUCCUGGAGCUCAACUCCAGAACUGCAUCUGAUACUGGAUGGCUUGAGUUCGGGAGAGGGAUGCGGAAUUCCAGGUGUAGCGGUGAAAUGCGUAGAUAUCUGGAGGAACACCGGUGGCGAAGGCGGCAUCCUGGACCGACACUGACGCUGAGGAGCGAAGCCAGGGGAGCAAACGGG
rnacentral:rRNA from 1 species